GAUGAACGCUGGCGGCGUGCCUAACACAUGCAAGUCGAGCGAACACAUAGGGAGCUUGUUCCUCUAACGUUGGCGGCUGACGGGUGGGUGACACGUGGAUAGCCUACUUCUUAUACGUGGAUGACUUCGGGGGGCCGGAGCUACUACCACAGAAUAUAUCGAACCGCAUGGUUCAAUAGUGAUAGACGCUUUUGCUGUCACUUUUAGACGGUUCCGCGCCGCAUUAGCUAGUUGGUAAGGUAACGGCCUACCAAGGCGACGAUGCGUAGCCGAUCUGAGAGGAUGAUCGGCCACACUGGAACUGAGACACGGUCCAGACUCCUACGGGAGGCAGCAGUAGGGAAUCUUGCGCAAUGGGCGAAAGCCUGACGCAGCCACACCGCGUGAGUGAUGAAGGUCUUCGGAUCGUAAAGCCCUUUUGUUAGGAAAGAACAACAGCAUAUGUAUCCAUCGACGUCCUGACGGUACCCAAACAGAAAGCCCCGGCUAACUACGUG
rnacentral:rRNA from 1 species